rnacentral:rRNA from 1 species
CCUACGGGGAGCAGCAGUGAGGAAUAUUGGUCAAUGGGCGGGAGCCUGAACCAGCCAAGUCGCGUGAGGGAAGACGGUCCUAUGGAUUGUAAACCUCUUUAGGCGGGGAGCAAUGCCGGGCACGCGUGCCCGGAGGGAGAGUACCCGCAGAAUAAGCAUCGGCUAACUCCGUGCCAGCAGCCGCGGUAAUACGGAGGAUUCGAGCGUUAUCCGGAUUUAGUGGGUUAAAAGGGUGCGUUGGCGGAUUUUUAAGGCAGCGGUAAAAUUUCCGGGCUCAACCCGGGCCGGCCGUUGAAACUGGGGAUCUUGAGUGGGCGAGAAGUAUGCGGAAUGCGUGGUGUAGCGGUGAAAUGCAUAGAUAUCACGCAGAACUCCGAUUGCGAAGGCAGCAUACUGGCGCCCGACUGACGCUGAGGCACGAAAGCGUGGGGAUCGAACAGGAUUAGAUACCCGUGUAGUC